UCGUUCCCUCGCUCGCUCUCUUUGCUAUCUCACUUCCACCCUAGAGUACUCUCUCACUCACUCUCGACCUCUCUCACUCUCUCCUUCUCUCCCUUUCUCUGACUCCCUCGGAUCGACGAUGCUUUAGGCAGGAGACGCCCCAACGCGGGUAGCCAGCUCGACGUAUCGCAAGCGACGGCCCUCCUCGCGAACCGUCCGUGCUCGGGCCAACUCGCGCAGUGCCGUAAAUACGAGGUUGCUCCUGGGUCGUUUGGGGCACUAGGAUUAUAUUCAUACCUUGGUAGUUCGCCCAUUUCUGUAACCUGACUUCAAUCCAAUACCUUUAGGAAGACUCGGCUCCUAUGACGAUUUGAUCCUUCCUAGAGCUAUUGCUAGAUUUUAAUAUACUUAAAGGGUAUCUUAGAAAUUUAGGUGUAUUCGCCCGAUUAUGCGUACUUAUAACGAUAAUUUCUGGGAAGGAUUUGUUUAUUUAAAAUCAGACCUAGUGCGUGGGUACCAGUCUGUUGCUAAGGGUGUUCUCUGCGCAUCUAGAGAAUUUAGCUUCUUCCUCUGUAUCGCUACUGGGAUGAAUAUUAAAAAUUAUCGAUUGACCUAGUGAUUCUGUUUUAGGUAAACUACGAGUCUCCUAGGGACAUUUAUAAAAGCGCAAGGAUACCAAGUGCGUUAGUCGCGGGUGCCGAGAGCCCUUCGAGGUGACCUGGAGCCGAGGGGCACUCCGCGGUAACGCGGGGGGCUAAGGAAGCCCUUGAAAUCAAUAGCCAGCCGCUACUGCCACCGCCACUGCCGCCGCCUCCCUGAUCCGCUCUGCUCUGCAUCCACUCCACGCAUCCCCAAGUCCCUCUUGUUCCCGCUGAUCCUUCUGCGCCGAGGAAACUUCAAUUCAUCCGCACAACCUCCUCGGGCGCGAACGUCGCCUCCCGAGUUCGGUUGGUUCAGUUUUCAGUCAGACGCCUUGAUAGGAAGGUCCCCGCUUGGAUGAUCAAGAAAAGCAUCCACGAGAAGCAGAGAAGCCAAACUUCGCAGUGUGCCCAGUCUCACACGGAACAGCAACAGAGCUAAAUAAUAAAACAUAUACUAUGCAUACCAACUACUACGUCGUAGCCGCAUCCUGGCUCUUCUUAUUGGAAAAGAAUCCAAAGAUUCUAUGACGCACUUACCAGUCUUAUCCUCUGACAUUUUCUAGUCCAAUCCGGCGCAAGCUUCCUGCGCUGCGGAAAGUGACCAGCGACAUUAUAUAGAACAUAUACAUACGUAUAUACCUGAUGGUGCUGAAGAUAUACGUAGACGGCCGACCUGAUGUUGACCUACUAUUGAACUUCUCUUGCACACUUGCAACCGGAUACGUCGAAUGAUCAAUCCGUCGCUUCUCUUUACAUCCCCCCCCCUCCCCCAAAGGGCUUUCGAGGAAGACGCCCGUUAAAUCUGGGAUGUGCGAUACCACGUUGUACGGGUUACCGGAAAUUCUCAAGAUCGUUUUGGCUUCGUGUCGAGUAUGAGAACGAAGAUCCGGGUAGAGAGCAUUGUUACUUUUGCAACACUUGGAAAUUGAAUUAUUCGGUAAUAUGCUGGGAAAGUUUCCCUAGGGGACACGUUUUUCGGAGCCGUUGAGCUCUAGAUGUUAUUUCGACCUCUUCCUCUUUUAUCCUCAAACGAAGAUGAAGAUCAGUCGGAGAUUGUAGAGUCUUUGGCGUACGUCAACACCCGGCUAUUACUGCGCCACCAUUGAAAUUGAAUUUAUCUGUUUAGUUGAGAAUUCAAUGUAUAAUUAAUAUUUAAUAGAUACUAAUAGCGUCCGAUAUGUUGAUACUAAGCAUGACGGAGAAUGAAAAGAUACUAAUAAGUAUCUACUGUUUCAGAUUGACAUCCCUGCUAUUGGAUAACUAAGCGAACAAAGUCUAAGCAAAAAGUCGCCAUUAAACACAUUUAUUACUUUGCUUACAUUAUAUUAUGUAACAACAUGAAUUACAGUAUAAAUCAAUGCCACAAUAAAACGAUAAUGGCACCGAGUGCCUCCGUACUCUUUAAUAUAAUCGGUUAAUCAAAUCGGUUAAGAUUAAAAAUUAAAUGGCUCGAUAAUGAAUUACA